rnacentral:rRNA from 1 species
GGUUAAGCGACUAAGCGUACACGGUGGAUGCCCUGGCAGUCAGAGGCGAUGAAGGGCGUGCUAAUCUGCGAUAAGCGCCGGUAAGGUGAUAUGAACCGUUAUAACCGGCGAUUUCCGAAUGGGGAAACCCAGUGUGAUUCGUCACACUAUCAUUAACUGAAUCCAUAGGUUAAUGAGGCGAACCGGGGGAACUGAAACAUCUAAGUACCCCGAGGAAAAGAAAUCAACCGAGAUUCCCCCAGUAGCGGCGAGCGAACGGGGAGGAGCCCAGAGCCUGAAUCAGCAUGUGUGUUAGUGGAAGCGUCUGGAAAGGCGCGCGAUACAGGGUGACAGCCCCGUACACAAAAGCGCAUGUGCUGUGAGCUCGAUGAGUAGGGCGGGACACGUGGUAUCCUGUCUGAAUAUGGGGGGACCAUCCUCCAAGGCUAAAUACUCCUGACUGACCGAUAGUGAACCAGUACCGUGAGGGAAAGGCGAAAAGAACCCCGGCGAGGGGAGUGAAAAAGAACCUGAAACCGUGUACGUACAAGCAGUGGGAGCACCCUUCGGGGUGUGACUGCGUACCUUUUGUAUAAUGGGUCAGCGACUUAUAUUCUGUAGCAAGGUUAACCGUAUAGGGGAGCCGGAGGGAAACCGAGUCUUAAUUGGGCGUUAAGUUGCAGGGUAUAGACCCGAAACCCGGUGAUCUAGCCAUGGGCAGGUUGAAGGUUGGGUAACACUAACUGGAGGACCGAACCGACUAAUGUUGAAAAAUUAGCGGAUGACCUGUGGCUGGGGGUGAAAGGCCAAUCAAACCGGGAGAUAGCUGGUUCUCCCCGAAAGCUAUUUAGGUAGCGCCUCGUGAAUUCAUCUCCGGGGGUAGAGCACUGUUUCGGCUAGGGGGCCAUCCCGGCUUACCAACCCGAUGCAAACUGCGAAUACCGGAGAAUGUUAUCACGGGAGACACACGGCGGGUGCUAACGUCCGUCGUGAAGAGGGAAACAACCCAGACCGCCAGCUAAGGUCCCAAAGUCAUGGUUAAGUGGGAAACGAUGUGGGAAGGCCCAGACAGCCAGGAUGUUGGCUUAGAAGCAGCCAUCAUUUAAAGAAAGCGUAAUAGCUCACUGGUCGAGUCGGCCUGCGCGGAAGAUGUAACGGGGCUAAACCAUGCACCGAAGCUGCGGCAGCGAACGUAUCACCCAAGACAACUUUACGGAGUUGACGAUUGACGGAGCGAAGCGACGUCAAAGCGUUCAUUAAAGUCGAGUUGGCUUAGGGAUACGUUCGUUGGGUAGGGGAGCGUUCUGUAAGCCUGUGAAGGUGUGUCGUGAGGCAUGCUGGAGGUAUCAGAAGUGCGAAUGCUGACAUAAGUAACGAUAAAGCGGGUGAAAAGCCCGCUCGCCGGAAGACCAAGGGUUCCUGUCCAACGUUAAUCGGGGCAGGGUGAGUCGACCCCUAAGGCGAGGCCGAAAGGCGUAGUCGAUGGGAAACGGGUUAAUAUUCCCGUACUUGGUGUUACUGCGAAGGGGGGACGGAGAAGGCUAUGUUGGCCGGGCGACGGUUGUCCCGGUUUAAGCGUGUAGGUGUGUGUUCCAGGUAAAUCCGGUUCACUUUAACACUGAGGCGUGACGACGAGGCACUACGGUGCUGAAGCAACAAAUGCCCUGCUUCCAGGAAAAGCCUCUAAGCAUCAGGUAACACGAAAUCGUACCCCAAACCGACACAGGUGGUCAGGUAGAGAAUACCAAGGCGCUUGAGAGAACUCGGGUGAAGGAACUAGGCAAAAUGGUGCCGUAACUUCGGGAGAAGGCACGCUGACACGUAGGUGAAGUGAUUUACUCAUGGAGCUGAAGUCAGUCGAAGAUACCAGCUGGCUGCAACUGUUUAUUAAAAACACAGCACUGUGCAAACACGAAAGUGGACGUAUACGGUGUGACGCCUGCCCGGUGCCGGAAGGUUAAUUGAUGGGGUCAGCGUAAGCGAAGCUCCUGAUCGAAGCCCCGGUAAACGGCGGCCGUAACUAUAACGGUCCUAAGGUAGCGAAAUUCCUUGUCGGGUAAGUUCCGACCUGCACGAAUGGCGUAAUGAUGGCCAGGCUGUCUCCACCCGAGACUCAGUGAAAUUGAACUCGCUGUGAAGAUGCAGUGUACCCGCGGCAAGACGGAAAGACCCCGUGAACCUUUACUAUAGCUUGACACUGAACAUUGAGCCUUGAUGUGUAGGAUAGGUGGGAGGCUUUGAAGUGUGGACGCCAGUCUGCAUGGAGCCGACCUUGAAAUACCACCCUUUAAUGUUUGAUGUUCUAACGUGGACCCGUAAUCCGGGUUGCGGACAGUGUCUGGUGGGUAGUUUGACUGGGGCGGUCUCCUCCUAAAGAGUAACGGAGGAGCACGAAGGUUGGCUAAUCCUGGUCGGACAUCAGGAGGUUAGUGCAAUGGCAUAAGCCAGCUUGACUGCGAGCGUGACGGCGCGAGCAGGUGCGAAAGCAGGUCAUAGUGAUCCGGUGGUUCUGAAUGGAAGGGCCAUCGCUCAACGGAUAAAAGGUACUCCGGGGAUAACAGGCUGAUACCGCCCAAGAGUUCAUAUCGACGGCGGUGUUUGGCACCUCGAUGUCGGCUCAUCACAUCCUGGGGCUGAAGUAGGUCCCAAGGGUAUGGCUGUUCGCCAUUUAAAGUGGUACGCGAGCUGGGUUUAGAACGUCGUGAGACAGUUCGGUCCCUAUCUGCCGUGGGCGCUGGAGAACUGAGGGGGGCUGCUCCUAGUACGAGAGGACCGGAGUGGACGCAUCACUGGUGUUCGGGUUGUCAUGCCAAUGGCACUGCCCGGUAGCUAAAUGCGGAAGAGAUAAGUGCUGAAAGCAUCUAAGCACGAAACUUGCCCCGAGAUGAGUUCUCCCUGAGACUUAGAGUCUCCUGAAGGAACGUUGAAGACGACGACGUUGAUAGGCCGGGUGUGUAAGCGCAGCGAUGCGUUGAGCUAACCGGUACUAAUGAACCGUGAGGCUUAACCUUAC